rnacentral:rRNA from 1 species
CCUACGGGGGGCAGCAGUGGGGAAUAUUGGGCAAUGGAGGCAACUCUGACCCAGCAACGCCGCGUGAAUGAUGAAGGUCUUCGGAUUGUAAAGUUCUUUUCUAAGGGAAGAAGAAAGUGACGGUACCUUAGGAAUAAGCCUCGGCUAACUACGUGCCAGCAGCCGCGGUAAUACGUAGGGGGCAAGCGUUAUCCGGAUUUACUGGGUGUAAAGGGAGUGUAGACGGAAAGGCAAGUCAGAAGUGAAAGCCCAAGGCUCAACCAUGGGACUGCUUUUGAAACUGUCAAACUAGAGUACGGGAGAGGUAAGAGGAAUUCCUAGUGUAGCGGUGAAAUGCGUAGAUAUUAGGAGGAACACCAGUGGCGAAGGCGUCUUACUGGACCGAAACUGACGUUGAGGCUCGAAAGCGUGGGGAGCAAACAGGAUUAGAUACCCGAGUAGUC